GACGACGCUGGCGGCGUGGAUUAGGCAUGCAAGUCGAACGGUAUCAUCCUUUCGGGGGUGAGAGAGUGGCGAACUGGUGAGUAACACGUAGGUUAUCUACCCUCAAGACGGGGACAACCCAGGGAAACUUGGGCUAAUACCGGAUGUGAGCAACUUUUAGUUGUUUGAAAGGUGGCGUAAGCUGUCGCUUGGGGAUGAGCCUGCGUCCUAUUAGUUAGUUGGUGAGGUAACGGCUCACCUAGGCAAUGAUAGGUAGGCGGCCUUAACGGGUGGUCGCCCACACUGGGAUUGAGAUACGGCCCAGACUCCUACGGGAGGCAGCAGUCGAGAAUAGUCUACAAUGGUCGGAAGACUGAUAGUGCGACGCCGCGUGAACGAUGAAUCCCUUCGGGGUGUAAAAGUUCUUUUAUAUGUGAGCAGUGCUUCUUAUAUUAACAGUAUGGGGAGAGAGAUAUUAGCAUAUGAAUAAGCAACGGCUAACUCCGUG
rnacentral:rRNA from 1 species